GAUGAACGCUGGCGGCGUGCCUAAUACAUGCAAGUCGAGCGAACAGACGAGGAGCUUGCUCCUCUGACGUUAGCGGCGGACGGGUGAGUAACACGUGGAUAACCUACCUAUAAGACUGGGAUAACUUCGGGAAACCGGAGCUAAUACCGGAUAAUAUAUUGAACCGCAUGGUUCAAUAGUGAAAGACGGUUUUGCUGUCACUUAUAGAUGGAUCCGCGCCGCAUUAGAUAGUUGGUAAGGUAACGGCUUACCAAGGCAACGAUGCGUAGCCGACCUGAGAGGGUGAUCGGCCACACUGGAACUGAGACACGGACCAGACUCCUACGGGAGGCAGCAGUAGGGAAUCUUCCGCAAUGGGCGAAAGCUUGACGGAGCAACGCCGCGUGAGUGAUGAGGGUCUUCGGAUCGUAAAACUCUGUUAUUAGGGAAGAACAAAUGUGUAAGUAACUAUGCACGUCUUGACGGUACCUAAUCAGAAAGCCACGGCUAACUACGUG
rnacentral:rRNA from 1 species